ACCUACCAUUUAACGCGUAAAACAGUCUACCAAUGUUCAUUUCACAGAAGUGGUCAAAUUUUUAGAUUGUGACAAAAAGAAUAACGUUCCCAAACGAAGUCGACCACUACAAACUUAUUGGUGGAAUAACCUUUUAAUAACUACGUUUUAAAUAUAUGUAGGAGACAAAAAAACAGACUGGGCAUUCUGGCAAAAAUUUAAACUCUGAACUUGGCGGAAACGCCCGUUAACUUUGCGCAGAGGGAGAAGGCGCGCGAGAGAGGCAGGCUUGGCGCUUGGACUUGUUCACGCUCAAAAGCGGAACAGCAGAAGGAGACGUCGGCAUACAGCACUCCAGCGUGUUUUUGGGAAGUCAUUUCACUGGCGACUGAAACGUACAUUUGUACUUUAUACCAGGUGCAGGCCCAAUGCAAAUGGAACCAACUGAUGUUCUGAAACUCAGGGUCAUCCUUGAUGACCUCAAUGCUGAGAGGCUUACUUUGCCUUCACGUCCUGAAACUGUAAAUGCCCUCAUAUUUGAGGUGAAAAAUAAGUUGAACUUGACCUAUGAUUUUCGCCUUCAGUUUCAGGACCCAGAAUUCGACAAUGCCUUAAUUUAGUUAACAUAGAAGAUCUACCAUCCAAAGCAUCAAUUAAGAUAGUUAAAUUAGUUGAUUUUGAUGUCAGUUCAAACAGUACAGGUGACACUGUGUUACUGUCUGAUAAUACUAAUUCGCCAGAGCGCCUUUGUCGGUGGCCAGAAGUAUUUAUAAUUCCAACAUUUUCAUAUGAGGUGGAAUAUGCUCUCAGAGAGGGUAACACUGCAUUUGUGAAAGAGGGGGAAAUUAUCAAAUUGACCAGGGAUCAGAAACACAACAUAUUGGAUGUAAUGGCUGCUGAAAUCUAUAAACUUAGAGAGCUAGGCAAAGCUGCAGAAGCUCUUGUGAGUAAACACCCGUGUCUUGUGACCAAAACGGUUCUAAAUCGGGGUAUGAUGGUUGGAAAAAUAGUUUGCGUUUCAAGAUGGGCAACUACAGGACCAAACUGAGCAGGGCUGGCAUAAAAGAUGUAGCUGUAAAUGCAGGAAAGCGCAGCAGGAACAAUCUAGAGGGUGCAGCAUCCAGGGCCAUUAAAAGACCAAGAAGAGGGGAAAUUAACUUCCUUCCUAAUAAUCCCCAUGGACAGACUAAGGACACAAUGGAGGCACAGAGGCUUGAAAUUGCGGAGCAGCUUAAGAAGGCAUUCAUAGAAAGAGACAUGAUUCUCAUUCAUCAACAUAUGCUGCACACCUUUGCACUCCGACGUGAAGAAAUUGUAAAUUCAGCUCCCCCUGUUGCAGAUCUAAAAGACAGAUGGCCUGCACUCUUUUGUGAAGCCCAACUCUACAGUGAAUUCCACAGAAUCACCAAUCAAAAUCUGCCAUUUUCCUUCUUUUCUGCACUUAACAAGUAUACACCUCGGCUGCUGACGCUGUACAAAAAAAGGAGGACUGGAAGUUUUGGUCACAAGAUG